rnacentral:pre_miRNA from 1 species
CAGUAUUUCUGAAAUUCUAUUUUCUGAAAUUCUUCAGGAAGGAUUUCAAAAAUACUGGU